ensembl:lincRNA
AGGGAUCCCGUCCCACCUGGGCAGGACAGCAGCCCCACCUAAUUCUGAGCGGCCCAGAAGUGGGGAAACCCUCUGCCACAUGGCGGUGACCAGAGGCAUGAGCAGGUGGUGAUGAACCCACGCAUGUGUGGAGGCCCCUACAAGGGUGUUAGCAGAGCUGCUGACACCCUGAAUCCCUCGGGCAUGUGUAGAACCCUCUGUAAGAUGAGUGUGUGCAAAUCUCCCUGUGUGUCCCCUUUACCUGGACACACACACACCCUCUCUCUCUCUCUCUCUCUCUGUCUCCCUCUCUCUCCCUCUCUCCCCCUCUCCACACACACACUCACCUCGUCAGGAAGUUGUUCAGCCCCAUACAGAGCGGUGAGCAGCGUCCUCCUGUGUCCUGACAAACUGGAGCACAAGUGAGAGGGUGUGAGGAGAGCCUGCAUGUCCCGCCGACCUCCCCUGUGUGCAGCAUCGCCUACAACAUGGAUUCAUGAGAAGAGCACCCUAUAUCCCUUCCACGAUCGGCAUGUGGCACACAUUACUACAUGGAUGUGAGGAGAGAUUCCAGUAUCCAGACCAUUUCAGAAAUGAGCAGAGACCUGUCAACAUGGAUAAUGAACAGUUCCCUUAAUGUCAGGAUCAUCUUCAUGGUAUGGGGAUCCCUAUACAACAUGGAGUUGUGUCCCAGACAUUGCAGCCACCCUGUAUGGAGUUCACGCCUUCGCAGAUGGAGCAGUACCUCUGCCCGAUGACUACCCAUGUCAGAUUUGUGGACCCUUCUAUAAGGUCAGUGUGAACAGAGGGCCCUCAACACACAUGCCUCGCCAUCUCAGAGCCUUCUACAACUUGGGUAUGAGCAGAAGUCCUGACCUUCAUCACAUGGAUGUGGAUCCCCUGCAACAUGGAAGUGAGCAGAGCUCCACCCACUCCCAGCUAUCUAAGCCAACUAAAGGAAAUCAACACUCAUCUGGGCAAAGUCAACUCGGGACCAGAGUGAGACCAGGUUUCCUGUCACACACUUCACACGCUGCAAAGCUGAGAAAAGCUCCAAGAUCCUGAUUCUCGAGCUUAAAUGUAGAAACUGCUGUAAGACCGUUUCAGCCACUUGCCCAUAUCAGAACCAGUCUCUCAAGUUCCAACGAGGCUUAUGGCACAGAGUGAUUUUGGAAGGUUACCUGAAACAGCCCUUUGUCAACCUACACGGCCAGAGAAGGACUGAUGGGCUGCUUAGGACACUGCCACUCCUCUUGGUUUCUUUUGGCAAAGGCCUCUUGGUGACAUCUUGUGAAAAGGUUUGAUACUGCAGCCCACACACCCGAUAGGCAAGUAGGCUGUUUGCAAGACCCCAAACAGGGAACACAAGCCUGGUUCUGGCCCUAGGCAGAGACAAGCUGGAUGUGCCAGCCAAAGCUCAGCUCAGGAAAACAGGAAAGCACUGAGACACGGAGUGGCUCUCGGCUUCCUGGAGGGAGAUCUGCCUGAGCCAUAAGAUAUCAAGUGCCUGAAGAUGCAUCUAUGUGACCAUUUUGAGAAACAUUUGGCUUAUGCCCCUUCUCUUAACACUCACUCCAAACACUAGAUCCAAAACUAUCAGAGAAGAAGAAACAAAACCAGCCACAUGGGCUGGUAAGUCUGUGGAUCAACUGACAGUACGGGUGUGUAUUUGUAGACAGCAGCUUGGCACAACACGUUCUCUCUUGAGGCACUGUAAGAAAAACUGGGAGACCACAGAGUGUCCAUCUCUGCAGAAGGACUGCCACCCACACGGGCCAUGAGCACCCUGCAGCAAUUUGUAAGCAGCCUCCUCAGGCCAGGGCGAGACCCCCAGGAGGGUCAGAGGGAAAAGCGGGCACUGGAAAGCCAUGGUGUGACCUUGACCUUUAAGAGACACAUUCUUGCAGAGGCCCAGAAAUUUCUGGGUUCAAAAGACAGUAGGACUAAUUUCCUGGGCUAUGACUGAGAAGCAGACUUUUAUGUUCCUAACUUAGGCCCUUCUGAGCUAUCUGAAUGUCUUAACCCAGUGCCUAAGGGAAAAAAAUAUCAAGUGAUUAGAAUGUCUCAGCCAAAAGCUCAAGUCCCACAUUAGGAGGUUCCUGUUUAAUGUGGGGAUGUAAAAAUGAAAAUGAGGCCGGACGUGGGGUCUUCCAUUUGCAGUGUCCUGUGAGAAAGUUUGAGCUGGGUGGCAUGGUGCAUACCUAUAAUCUCAGCACUCAAGAGGCUGAGGCAGGAGGACUUUAAGGUCAGCCCUCACAAUGAUUUGGCUAGUAUACCUGACAAAUAAACACUGUGUAUACUCAAGGUGUACUGUGUGAUGAUUUUGUAUGUGUGUACAUUGUAAACUGAGUUCCACAUCAA